rnacentral:rRNA from 1 species
AUGGAUUUCCGAGAUAUACACUGCUUCAAUCUGGCUUUGUUACCCAAACAAGCGUGGCGUCUGAUUGAUAACCCUGGGUCUUUAUGUGCUAGUAUCUUGAAAGCAAAAUAUUUUUCGGAGGGGGAUCUAAUGAAUGCAAGUUUAAAAAAGGGGUCCUCCUUUACUUGGCAAAGUAUUAUGGCAGAUGUAAAUUCUCUAAAAAAUGGUUAUUUUUGGCGAGUUGGAAAUGGACAGAAUAUUGAUAUUUGAAAAGACGCUUAGAUCCCAAAUUGUGCUAAUAUGAAGAUUAUCACUCCUAGAAGGGGACAACUUCUAUCAAAGGUGUGUGGCCUUAUUGACCCAAUCACGAAUUCAUGGGAUGAAGAUUCGGUGAGACAGACGUUAUGGCCAAUUGAUGCACAAAGGGUGCUCGCAAUUCCACUUCCCAUGUAUAAUAUGCUGGAUUUCAUUGCUUGGAGCUAUACAAAAAAUGGCAUGUUCACUGUUCGUUCUGCAUAUUUGGAAGAGUGGAACAACCAACAUGGGAAAAAGUUGCAACAUGUAAAUGGGAUGGGUAGAACCAAUGUCAAUCCUAUUUGGGAAAAGAUUUGGAAAUUAUCAUGUCCGGCAAAGGUAAAAAUCUUUAUCUGGUGUACUCUACAUGAAACCCUCCCAUGUCAAGUUACACUUGCUAAUAGACACUUGAAGGUUACACCCAUCUGCCCGUCAUGCUCGAAUGCUCCAGGAGAUAAAAAACACGUCUUGUUCCCAUGUCGGAAGGUGAAAGAAGUAUGGGGAAACUAG